AACGAACGCUGGCGGCAGGCCUAACACAUGCAAGUCGAACGGGAUCUUCGGAUCUAGUGGCGGACGGGUGAGUAACGCGUGGGAACGUGCCCUUUGGUUCGGAAUAGCCCCGGGAAACUGGGCGUAAUAACGGAUAAGCCAUACGGGGGAAAGAUUUAUCGCCAAAGGAUCGGCCCGCGUUGGAUUAGGUAGUUGGUGAGGUAAUGGCUCACCAAGCCGACGAUCCAUAGCUGGUUUGAGAGGAUGAUCAGCCACACUGGGACUAAGACACGGCCCAGACUCCUACGGGAGGCAGCAGUGGGGAAUCUUAGACAAUGGGGGAAACCCUGAUCUAGCCAUGCCGCGUGAUCGAUGAAGGCCUUAGGGUUGUAAAGAUCUUUCAGUGGGGAAGAUAAUGACUGUACCCACAGAAGAAGCCCCGGCUAACUCCGUGCCAGCAGCCGCCGUAA
rnacentral:rRNA from 1 species